rnacentral:rRNA from 1 species
UACGUAGGUCCCGAGCGUUGUCCGGAUUUAUUGGGCGUAAAGCGAGCGCAGGUGGUUUAUUAAGUCUGGUGUAAAAGGCAGUGGCUCAACCAUUGUAUGCAUUGGAGACUGGUAGGCUUGAGUGCAGGAGAGGAGAGUGGAAUUCCAUGUGUAGCGGUGAAAUGCGUAGAUAUAUGGAGGAACACCGGUGGCGAAAGCGGCUCUCUGGCCUGUAACUGACACUGAGGCUCGAAAGCGUGGGGAGCAAACAGG